GAUGAAGAACGUAGCGAAAUGCGAUAAGUAAUGUGAAUUGCAGAAUUCAGUGAAUCAUCGAAUCUUUGAACGCACAUUGCGCCCCUUGGUAUUCCGGGGGGCAUGCCUGUUCGAGCGUCAUUAUAACCCCUCAAGCUCAGCUUGGUGUUGGGGCCUGCCGACUGGCAGCCCUUAAAAUCAGUGGCGGCGCCAUCUGGCUCUAAGCGUAGUAAUUUCUCUCGCUAUAGAGUCCCGGUGGAUGCUUGCCAGCAACCCCCAACUUUCUAUGGUUGACCACGGAUCAGGUAGGGAUACCCGCUGAACUUAAGCAUAUCAAUAAGCGGAGGA
rnacentral:misc_RNA from 1 species